CCUACGGGGGGCAGCAGUCGAGAGGCUUCGGCAAUGGGGGAAACCCUGACCGAGCGACGCCGCGUGGGGGAUGAAGGCCCUUGGGUUGUAAACCCCUUUUAUUCGGGAAGAAAUGCGAUCAGGUGAAUAAUCUGGUCGUUUGACGGUACCGGAUGAAUAAGCUCCGGCUAACUCCGUGCCAGCAGCCGCGGUAACACGGGGGGAGCAAGCGUUGUUCGGAAUUACUGGGCGUAAAGGGCGUGUAGGCGGUCAGGUAAGNGGGAUGUGAAAUGCCCCGGCUCACCCGGGGACCGGCAUCUCAUACUGCUUGGCUUGAGUUCGGGAGAGGAUGUGGGAAUUCCUGGUGUAGCGGUGAAAUGCGUAGAUAUCAGGAGGAACACCGGUGGCGAAGGCGCACAUCUGGCCCGAUACUGACGCUGAGGCGCGAAAGCUAGGGGAGCGAACAGGAUUAGAUACCCGGGUANUC
rnacentral:rRNA from 1 species